rnacentral:tRNA from 1 species
GUCCCGGUGGCUCAGUGGUUAAGAGCUUGGCUGCUAACCAAAAGGUUGCAGUUCAAAUCUACCAGCCACU